rnacentral:rRNA from 1 species
CUAUCUGCAGUCGAGCGGACAGAUGGGAGCUUGCUCCCUGAUGUUAGCGGCGGACGGGUGAGUAACACGUGGGUAACCUGCCUGUAAGACUGGGAUAACUCCGGGAAACCGGGGCUAAUACCGGAUGGUUGUUUGAACCGCAUGGUUCAGACAUAAAAGGUGGCUUCGGCUACCACUUACAGAUGGACCCGCGGCGCAUUAGCUAGUUGGUGAGGUAACGGCUCACCAAGGCAACGAUGCGUAGCCGACCUGAGAGGGUGAUCGGCCACACUGGGACUGAGACACGGCCCAGACUCCUACGGGAGGCAGCAGUAGGGAAUCUUCCGCAAUGGACGAAAGUCUGACGGAGCAACGCCGCGUGAGUGAUGAAGGUUUUCGGAUCGUAAAGCUCUGUUGUUAGGGAAGAACAAGUGCCGUUCAAAUAGGGCGGCACCUUGACGGUACCUAACCAGAAAGCCACGGCUAACUACGUGCCAGCAGCCGCGGUAAUACGUAGGUGGCAAGCGUUGUCCGGAAUUAUUGGGCGUAAAGGGCUCGCAGGCGGUUUCUUAAGUCUGAUGUGAAAGCCCCCGGCUCAACCGGGGAGGGUCAUUGGAAACUGGGGAACUUGAGUGCAGAAGAGGAGAGUGGAAUUCCACGUGUAGCGGUGAAAUGCGUAGAGAUGUGGAGGAACACCAGUGGCGAAGGCGACUCUCUGGUCUGUAACUGACGCUGAGGAGCGAAAGCGUGGGGAGCGAACAGGAUUAGAUACCCUGGUAGUCCACGCCGUAAACGAUGAGUGCUAAGUGUUAGGGGGUUUCCGCCCCUUAGUGCUGCAGCUAACGCAUUAAGCACUCCGCCUGGGGAGUAC